AACCAGUAUGAAAGGAGAACAUGUCAGCAUUCCCCUUCAUAAGGACAGAAGGGGUCCUAGUGGCCUUACAACACACAAUGGUUAAGACAUGGCCAUUUACUUAGUGGCAUUUAACCAUAUUUU